CCUACGGGUGGCAGCAGUGGGGAAUAUUGGACAAUGGGGGGAACCCUGAUCCAGCCAUGCCGCGUGUGUGAAGAAGGCCCUCGGGUUGUAAAGCACUUUCAGUGAGGAAGAACGCCUGGUGGUUAAUACCCAUCAGGAAAGACAUCACUCACAGAAGAAGCACCGGCUAACUCCGUGCCAGCAGCCGCGGUAAUACGGAGGGUGCGAGCGUUAAUCGGAAUUACUGGGCGUAAAGCGCGCGUAGGUGGCUUGAUAAGCCGGUUGUGAAAGCCCCGGGCUCAACCUGGGAACGGCAUCCGGAACUGUCAAGCUAGAGUGCAGGAGAGGAAGGUAGAAUUCCCGGUGUAGCGGUGAAAUGCGUAGAGAUCGGGAGGAAUACCAGUGGCGAAGGCGGCCUUCUGGACUGAAACUGACACUGAGGUGCGAAAGCGUGGGUAGCAAACAGGAUUAGAUACCUGAGUAGUC
rnacentral:rRNA from 1 species